rnacentral:rRNA from 1 species
AUUGAACGCUGGCGGCAGGCCUAACACAUGCAAGUCGAACGAGUGGCGGAAGGGUGAGAAAUGUCUGGGAAACUGCCCGAUGGAGGGGGAUAACUACUGGACACGGUAGCUAAUACCGCAUACCAUCGGAUGUGCCCAGAUGGGCUUAGCUAGUAGGUGGGGUAACGGCUCACCUAGGCGACGAUCCCUAGCUGGUCUGAGAGGACGAACAGCCAAAAUGGAACUGAGACACGGUCCAGACUCCUACGGGAGGCAGCAGUGGGGAAUAUUGCAAAAUGGGCGCAAGCCUGAUGCAGACAUGCCGCGUGUAUGAAGAAGGCCUUCGGGUUGUAAAGUACUUUCAGCGAGGAGGCGUUACUCGCAGAAGAAGCCACGGCGAACUCCGUGCCAGCAGCCGCGGUAAUUC